rnacentral:lncRNA from 1 species
GAUUUGCAUUUUCCUAAUAAUGAUUGAUGCUGAGUCACGACUAUGGUUUUCACAUUACUAUGUCAUCUGUCUUGUCCAGUGAGCUGUGCCUCAUUUAUUCUCAUUGCUGCACUGUGUUCCAUGGUAAGAAUAGAACACAGGAGAUCUGCUGUUGAUGGGCACUGGAUGGCUUCUCAUUUGGAAUGACUGCAAAACCAAUCAAUGACAGGCAUAAUGAACGCUCCCAAGGGCCAUUUGCUCCUGGCUUGGGCAAGCUCCAUGGCCAGGUCACACCACCAUCUCACUGCUCCCUCCUGCUGUCUGUCCACAGGCAGCCCAG